CAGUAGCCGCGGGAAUACGUAGGUCCCGAGCGUUGUCCGGAUUUAUUGGGCGUAAAGCGAGCGCAGGCGGUUAGAUAAGUCUGAAGUUAAAGGCUGUGGCUUAACCAUAGUACGCUUUGGAAACUGUUUAACUUGAGUGCAAGAGGGGAGAGUGGAAUUCCAUGUGUAGCGGUGAAAUGCGUAGAUAUAUGGAGGAACACCGGUGGCGAGAGCGGCUCUCUGGCUUGAAACUGACGCUGAGGCUCGAAAGCGUGGGGAGCAAACAGGAUUAGAUACCCGGGUAGUCCCUGUCUCUUAUACA
rnacentral:rRNA from 1 species